rnacentral:rRNA from 1 species
CCCUUAGAUGUUCUGGGCCGCACGCGCGCUACACUGAUUCAUGCAACAAGUUUUGUCCUUGGCUGAUAGGCCUGGGUAAUCUUUGAACGUGAAUCGUGAUGGGGAUAGAUGAUUGCAAUUAUUCAUCUUCAACGAGGAAUUCCUAGUAAACGCAAGUCAUCAGCUUGCAUUGAUUACGUCCCUGCCCUUUGUACACACCGCCCGUCGCACCUACCGAUCGAAUGGUCCGGUGAAAUCUUCGGAUCUGAGAGAUGUCUGAUUAAUUUCGGACGCCUUUUGGAAAAGUUGUUUAAACCUUACCAUUUAGAGGAAGGUGAAGUCGUAACA